GUCGUCUCUUCCCAUCCUGGGGGUGCAGCAGCCCCCAAGGGUGGGGCUGCCCGCCCAUUAAAGGGGAACGUGAGAUGGGUUUAGACCGUCGUGAGACAGGUCGGUCUCUACCUGCCGGGGGUGUCGGCCGCCUGAGGGGAAGGUGCCCCCAGUACGAGAGGAACGGGGCGCCGCGGCCUCUAGUGUACCGGUUGUCCGGCAGGGCAGUGCCGGGCAGCCACGCCGUAGGGGAUAAGGGCUGAAAGCAUCUAAGCCCGAAGCCCUCCCCGAAAAGAGGCGGCCAUUCCCCAGCGCUUGGGGGCGGG
rnacentral:rRNA from 1 species